GGCCUCAUAGCUUAGUUGGCUAGAGCGUUGGGUGUACUAAAGCCUUCCCCUUGCUGGCGUGGGUUCGAAUCCCACUAAGGCCG
rnacentral:tRNA from 1 species